rnacentral:lncRNA from 1 species
UACUUCUUUUAAACCAGGGAACCCCCGGACCUUCGAUCCCCUUUAACCGAGAAGAAUCUCCUGAGAUCGAUCCAUGGAGGCAGAGCAAGCCAAGGUCUUCUCUCCCCUUCUUCAUCUCUCUCGAAUCAAUCGUUCUUUCUUGAACCUUGAGAUCGAUCUAUUUGUUUUCUAGAUUCUACGUAGAGAAACGAGCUACGGUUGUGCUGCUGCUAAAAUCUAGAAGAAUCGACAGAUUGAUGGGAAUCUUUAGGGCCAAACUUUUGGCUGUGGCAGAAGAACUUGGUCAUGAGAUACGCAUAUUCACAAACUCAGCAAAUUCUGCAGCAUCGAAAGAAAUAUCUGCUUCUUCAAGUGAGGAACCGGACCAUUUCUAUGAUCUUACUCCUGAAGAUUAUUAUCGAAUCAUGUCAGACAGAAUACGAGCCCAAUCCCAAAUUCUAAAGACCCGUAAAAUGCGGGAAGCAGAGGCAGCAGCCCGCAGGGCAAGGAUCACUAUAUGUCUUGGUGGUGGUGGUGGUGUUGGUGCUCCAGGAGAUGGAUCUUAGCCACAAGGCACUGUGGGGUCAGUGAUGAGGUCUGCAUUUGAGCACACCUGUUGCUGGAGCAGCUAAGCCUAGCCUACAACUGAUUCGAGUUGGUUCAACAUCUAGGGGAUAGCAGUCUGGAAAGCUAGCUCUUCGUGCUGGACUGACCACAACCAAUUUGGUUAAAUAGUUUUUUCCCCACUUAUCUAGUGAUGUGGAUUGUAUAGAAGUCAUGUUGCACCAAUAAUUAUGUUUUAGACCAUGUUAAUUAACUAAAUAGAUCAUAUGCUAAUGGCAAGGCAGAUUUGCAAAUUUGGACCAUUUGGCAGAUUUCCUUCUAGAUGGUGGACUUGGUUUGCCAAUGUGUAAUUUAUGAUUUUUCAAAUUAAUUUUCUUUCUAUUUAUGUUUGUGUAGGCUGUAAUUAGGGUUCGCUUCCCUGAUAAUUACAUUCUUGAGGCAAAGUUUCAGCCAUCGGAGAAAAUUGAAAGCUUGAUGCAUCUUCUCAUGAAAGUUGUUGCUCGACCAGACCUGCCAUUCUAUUUAUGUAAGCACUAUCUGAUUUAGUUACAUAGAUAAA